CAAGGAGUCACUAUCACUUCAUUGGCUGCAGCUGCAGCUGUUGUGGCCGGAGCUAUUUCUCUCAUCACUGUAGCUGUGGCACUGCAUAGAAGGUGCUUCAGGAGCAAGGAGGAAGUCUCCCUUUCUAGAGAUAGUCGCUGUCCCCAGGAUGGUUCCAAAGAAGGCCAGAAUCCUGACUCAAGUUAGCUCUCCCCAAGUCCUCUUCCAGGCCUAGCAUCUCAGGAACCCAAACCACUGUGGCUCUGAAUUAGUAUUAUUUUCAAGUUUAAA